CCCUUAGAUGUCCUGGGCCGCACGCGCGCUACACUGAUGCAUGCAACGAGUUUAUAACCUUGGCCUGAAAGGUCUGGGUAAUCUUUUGAACGUGCAUCGUGAUAGGGAUAGAUUAUUGCAAUUGUUAAUCUUGAACGAGGAAUUCCUAGUAAACGCGAGUCAUCAGCUCGCAUUGAUUACGUCCCUGCCCUUUGUACACACCGCCCGUCGCACCUACCGAUUGAAUGGUUUAGUGAGAUCCUCGGAUCGGCGGCGUCGGGACGGCCCUGCCGUACCGUUCUGCAUUGUCCGAGAAGACGAUCAAACUUGAUCAUUUAGAGGAAGUAAAAGUCGUAACA
rnacentral:rRNA from 1 species